rnacentral:rRNA from 1 species
UACCAGCACCCCGAGUUGUCGGGACGAUUAUUGGGCCUAAAGCGUCCGUAGCCUGUUCUGCAAGUCCUCCGUUAAAUCCACCUGCUUAACGGAUGGGCUGCGGGGGAUACCGCAGAGCUAGGAGGCGGGAGAGGCAAACGGUACUCAGUGGGUAGGGGUAAAAUCCAUUGAUCUACUGAAGACCACCAGUGGCGAAGGCGGGUUGCUGGGCUGACACUGACGCUGAAGCGCGAAAGCUAGGGGAGCGAACGGG